rnacentral:lncRNA from 1 species
UUCCCAAACUGCCCCCGGGGAUAGAGUGGGGGAGUGCGGGGCGCUCCGAGGCGCGCUCCCACGCGCGCACACCCAGCCCCAGGCUUCCCCUUCCCUCUCUCCACUCCCCACGCCCUGCAGCGAAACGGCCCCAGAAGCCCCUCUCCGAGGCGCGAGUUCGGUUUGGUUCUGGCAGGGGCUUUGCAGCUGUCCGGAAGGUGAAGUCAGCCUUGUGUCCUGAGGAGAAACUGGAGAUGCAGGUCGCUGUGCCCUCCCGCUGCUACGUCGCUGCGCCGGAUCCUGCCAUCCUUCCGCAAGGGGUGAGAGCGGGAACAGCCCUGCCCUGCCUUCCAGGUAUUAUCUAGCCUGGAGGCUGGAGCGCAAGGUAACGCUCCGGGAAGUGGCACUCGGGUCCCCGCACACGGGCGAGUCCUCAGCAGUUCAGUGGACAGACCCGCAGGACGCGGCUGCCAAGUCCGCGAGGCAAGGACCAGGCAUCUUCCCGCGCCUCACUCCAGCCUGCGGACUGUGACUUUCCAUCCCAGUAUCAGACAAGCUCGCGAGUAACUGAACAUCCUUUCCAGUCCAUGGGUGGGGUGUGGAAAGGGCGUAAAACUCCAAAGUGGCUCCUCCGCGGUGAGCGAGCUGCCCCGGGGCUCUGCCUGACUGCAGCGCGAAGCCUGGGAGAACAAACCCAGUUCCCUCCGUCAAGAAAUUUCCAUUUAAGUCCGAGAAAGUCAUAUGAUUGAGAAGUUCAGCAGCGGCGGCGAGGACCCAGUGUCUGGGAAAGAACACCUGGAGGAUGGGGUGUCCAGGACGCCGGCUUUUCGGGGUUCCGACCCCACCCACCUUAUGUUGUAACAUACAAGCUUAGAGACCUGUUGCAAGGAACAACUGACUGGGUCUUCCACCACCCCUGGCACCCGGGUGGCCCAAAGCCUAUGCGCCCUUGGCGGAGAGAGAGGCCACGGUGCCACUGGCCGCAGCCUCUGGCCUUCAGAAACAGUGUAUUACAAAGAAAAGGCAGUUUAAAUCUCACAUUCAGCAUAGGGAAAACUGAAGGGUGCCAGGCUCGGGGACUUCUUCCAACAGAGUGGCUCUUCCCCAAAUAUGAAAGAAAAUCAUCAAAUUAAAUUGAAGGCAAAACUAAGCUUCCACCACAAAGACAUAGCAGAUAGUUGCAAGGUGGAUUCCUUCGGGCCUUUUCCUUUCCUAAGGCUAAAACAAUGCUAAGACAAAAGUCUUCUUGCAGCUGUCUCCGCCCCUCCGAGAUAAAUACUUUCCCAAUUCUCCCCCACCCUGUACACACACCCACGCCCGCGGCAGCUGAUUUCUGUCUUCUGCAAUAGCUCGAUUUAAAUGCUUUGCUUUUACUCUUUAUUAUCACUAUUAUUUGUGUGAAGCCCUCUCGCCUGCUCCUGGUCACCAGCAGGAGCCUGCUUCCCUCCCUCCUUCCCCCCAAGCCUCUGGGCAGCAGAAGCUAGCUGGGAGCUCUGUGCAGCUGGCGGCGACGCCAUGUGACUGUGAGCCGAGCACCAUCACCCAGAGUCACUCUCUAGCUUUCCCCUAAUACACUUCACACCCACGCACUGUGGAGGUGCGAGAGAGGUUGCUCCGUGCGGUGCUAUUCGAGGCAGAUGCAGAGAGCGCCCUGGAGUAAGCUCUCCAAUCCUAGAGCUGCGCGGGACCCUGACUGAAGGCGGAGGGGGCGGGAGGGGGUGCUGUUGCUAUAUUUAGACUCCCUAUGGAGUUUCUGUGCAGGGACUUUCAGGGUGAAAGAUCUAGAGACUUAAAAUGACUCGUGUGCCCGCUUUAAACGUCAAAAUCUUGGCCUUUCUGCAAGCAGUAAAAUGAAAACCACUUCCUCUUAACUUAGCUGUUUUCCUUGUUGCAGACUGCUACUUUCGCUGGGUAGGUAAAGUCACUUCCAUCUCUCUGGCGCGGCUGGGCCCCGCGUGCAGGCAAGAAGUCUCAGGAAGGCAGGACACAGGGACACGUUUCCCUGGAAGACAGCCAGCUGUUUAAUUUCUAAGUGAUGCUUUUCUGGGGAUGCAGCAUUAGUUCUAGUGAAACUGUAUUAUUGAUUAAGCAAAUGCCAUUUAAGCUUAAUUAAAAAAUAAAAAAGACCCGGUUACUGGUAGCCGUUUUGAGCUGCUGAGAAGGACCUUUCACUUAUGUCUUCUAGAGUAACCGCCAUUUGGAUACACAGCCCAGAAAAAGAGGGCCUGCUCAAGUUUUCGCGGGUAGUGUGAGAGUUACUAGGAAUCCAACAACCUGGCUUCCUAGUUCACUGUUCCUUCCACCAAUCAAUCUGCAUCUCCAGCAGAGAAUGGAUAAAAUAGCAAACAGUUCUGGGGUUUUGUAUCAAUCUCUGACUGCAACCAUUGGGAAAGACUGGCUUAGCUGAAGUUCUAACCUUCCUACCUUUCAAUGCCCAGAAAGAAAAAGCCAAGUGAGUCUGUGCCAACCUCUCCUACAAGAGCCUCUGUUUGCACCUUGCUUUAUUUGCUACCUGCUAACUUCCCUCAAAAGACGGGAAUUAACUUUGGAGAAAAUAAGAAAUUAAUCAGAGAACCCAGGACAACGUCAGAGAUCAUAUGAGCCUCACCAGACUGCAUGAGAGUCAUAACACAGUAGGAGUCCCAGGCCUACCUCACAUGGCAAAUGGGACAGUGUUCUUCAGAACAACCUCUGCCCCAGGGAUGCAGAAAGGAGGGUUUCACUAUGUUGGCCAGUCUGGUGUUGAACUCCUCACCUCAAAUGAUCUGCCCACCUUGGCCUCCCAAAGCGUUGGAGUUACAGACGUGAGCCACCGCGCCCAGCUGGAGAAGAUGUGAAAUUUUGAGAGCUGACCAUACUUUGAGAAUAAUAAGUAGUUGGAUUCUACUGAAGCCCAGUGGCUUUUGGAGGUGUAGCAAUAAGCAGGAGGCAGCAGAAGUAAGACAAGGGCUGUAUGACAAAGUCUUGGCAAGAACUUUGAAUUUUAUCCUGAUGUGAGUGGGGAGAGCCACUGAAGAACGUGAAGCCAGAAACACUACAUGUUACUACUUCUACUUUCAGAAAAGGCUUAAUAUGGAUUAUACACCUACAAGUGGCACACACUGUUCCAAGUGGAGACUCAAAGAUGAUAACGAUACAGUGUUUAUGCUAUAGGUUUGUGAAGCUACCAAUCCAUGGACAGAUGUUAAACCUAACUUCCAAUUUCAGGUACAAAUAUCUGAGUAAAUGAUGGUAUCAUUUACUCAAUCAGUAAAGGUCAAAGAGAAGGCAGUCUGAAGAAGGGAAAGGUGUUCAAUUUUGCAUUGAGUUUGACAUACCUGUUGAGACAGCUCAGUGGAGAUAUCCAGUUGAUGCUUGGAUAUAUGGACUUACAGCUCAGGGGGAGCUAGAAAUUGAAAUUUGAGAAUCAUCAACCUAUAUUUAUAAUGGGUGAAAUCAAUAAGUCGGAAUCAAAUUACCUGGGGAAGCAUGCAGAUUUGUUUAAAAAGGAAGAGGCCUGAGAACCCAACCCUGGUAAGCAUGACCAUUCAGGAUAAGAGAGAAGGAGCAAGUAGGGAAAGAGACUGAAAUAAAGAAACCUGAGUAACCACUGAGGACCACUGCUACAAUAGAGAAAAAGGAACUUCAUUAGGGAAAUGCCUGAAAGCGAAUAAGGUAAGGAUUUUGGAUUUAGCAACAAAGAGGUCAUUUGAAGAAGUUGUUUUUAUUUUUAUUUCCUUGCAGAAUUGUAGAAAUAGAAAUCAAAUCAGAGUGAGCAGAGAAACAAUUUGAAGAUAAGGGAAUGGAGAUAAUUAUUUUAAAGUGGGAGAAGCAAGCAGAAGAUUUAGGUUUGAAGAAGGCACUAUACAAAAUAAUGUUGAUUCACUUGAGACUUGAGUGGCUGUUACAGCCACUCUCACAGGUCCCGAGGCUGAGCCUGCACAGGUGUUUCGACAACUAAGCUGCAAUUUUGACAGACACUAUUUCACUGUCAAUUGUGCGGCCUGCAACAACUUGGACAUCUUUUAUUGAUUUUAUUGAGUACUUUAAUAACAUUUUAAUAAAAGCCAUUAUAUUUUAUUUCUAACAUUUCAAAAAAUUCUAUUUAAUAAGUAUGCAUUUUUCGUGUUUAGUUUUACCAAGAAGGAAAAUGCAUGCUAGAUAAACUACAUUUUUGUUUGAUUUUAUUUGUAAUCAAGGCUGAGGAACUGACCAGAUCAGAAAAAGAAAGUCAAUACCUGCUAAGUAUUCAACACAGUUUUCAACAGUGCUACUGAAAGCUACAGGAGAUACCAAGAGUCCCUCAGACAGGUCAGGGAUUGGCAAGAGUGGGGUCAUCAAGUUUCUGGAGUUUCAAUAAGAUAUUUGCUUUUUUCUUAUAUAUACAUAUUAGCUUUCUGCAUAAAAUUAUAUUAACAGAAACGCUAUUAAAGUUGUUUUUGAAAAACAACUGAACUACAGAAUGGUCCUGUUUGUUGGA